UGGGGAAUAUUGCACAAUGGUCGCAAGCCUGAUGCAGCCAUGCCGCGUGUGUGAAGAAGGCCUUCGGGUUGUAAAGCACUUUCAGCGAGGAGGAAGGGUAGUGUGUUAAUAGCACAUUGCAUUGACGUUACUCGCAGAAGAAGCACCGGCUAACUCCGUGCCAGCAGCCGCGGUAAUACGGAGGGUGCAAGCGUUAAUCGGAAUUACUGGGCGUAAAGCGCACGCAGGCGGUUUGUUAAGUCAGAUGUGAAAUCCCCGCGCUUAACGUGGGAACUGCAUUUGAAACUGGCAAGCUAGAGUCUUGUAGAGGGGGGUGGAAUUCCAGGUGUAGCGGUGAAAUGCGUAGAGAUCUGGAGGAAUACCGGUGGCGAAGGCGGCCCCCUGGACAAAGACUGACGCUCAGGUGCGAAAGCGUGGGGAGCAAACA
rnacentral:rRNA from 1 species